UACGUAGGGACCAAGCGUUGUCCGGAUUUAUUGGGCGUAAAGAGCUCGUAGGCGGUUAUCCACGUCGGAUGUGAAAGCUCAGGGCUCAACCCUGAGAUGCCAUUCGAUACGGGAUAGCUAGAGGUAGGUAGGGGAAAGUGGAAUUCCUGGUGUAGCGGUGAAAUGCGCAGAUAUCGGGAGGAACAUCAGUGGCGAAGGCGGCUACCUGGCCCAAUACUGACACUCAGGUGCGACAGCGUGGGGAGCAAACAGG
rnacentral:rRNA from 1 species